UACGUAGGGUGCAAGCGUUAAUCGGAAUUACUGGGCGUAAAGCGUGCGCAGGCGGUUUUGUAAGACAGGCGUGAAAUCCCCGGGCCCAACCUGGGAAUUGCGCUUGUGACUGCAAAGCUGGAGUGCGGCAGAGGGGGAUGGAAUUCCGCGUGUAGCAGUGAAAUGCGUAGAUAUGCGGAGGAACACCGAUGGCGAAGGCAAUCCCCUGGGCCUGCACUGACGCUCAUGCACGAAAGCGUGGGGAGCAAACAGG
rnacentral:rRNA from 1 species